AGAGUAGGGAUAGAUGGAUCAGGGUCUAGUGAGAGAUGAUUGUGAAACUAAGUGUUUUGAUGCCACCAGACAACAUAAAUUUAUUUGACGACAUGUCAUUCCUUUUCUUUUUAUUUUAUUUCGGAAAAAGAACAAAAUAAGACAUUCUUAAAAAAUAAAAACUUAAAUUAUUAUUAUUAUAUCUUCCUAAAUCCUAACAGACAAAGCAGCACACAGUCACAACAACAAAAACCCAGCUUAAAAAUCAAGUAAAUUUAUAUCUCUUUACACUUUUCUGUUUGGUCCCUGGGAAAAUUAAGCAAAGAAAGCCCUUUUCUCUUCUGUUUAGUAUAUAAAGCUAUGAACUUUAUAUCUGUUGAGCUCCAUUUAAGUGCUAAGCCUGUUAAACUAGAGAUUAAAUUUGUGUAUUUUUUGGUCUUUCUGUGUGAAUUGAACUUAAAGUUGUGAACUUUGUGCUGUCGUUGAUAAUUUAUUCUAUAUUUACUGUGAACCCAAUUGUGAAGAUGCAAGUUUCUAUUGUUUUGUUCUCUCUUUUCAGUGUCGUCAAUUUGGAUUGUGUAAGUUAAUUUCUUUGUUCUUUAGUGCAUUUCGCAUACAGUAAUUCAUCAGUAGCUUAUAUCGAUAUGGGAAGUAGCCCUUUGGUUGAUCUUGUAGGCCAUGUUCAGGGUUUCGUUUGUUGUCAUAAUAUGAAAGAUACAGGGAGAUGAGAUUGUCAAGUCAGGUGCCAUUUUUUGGUGCAAACUGAAUGUUUUGUAAGUCAACUACAGGUGCUAGAUUUGGAGUAAUUAAAAUCGCCAAUUCAGUAUAGGAUUUAACUUAGGCCAGCUGCAGCUGCAGCUGCAUGCAGUCUUGGGUCGUAGCCAUGUGUGCGUGUGAAUUAUGCAUGCGGUGAUUUGGUGGCAGACUGUACAUGAUUCGCCUGAAUGGCUAGAAUUCUAGGCUGCAUGAGCAUAGCCCAGGAUGUUCUAAAGGGUGGUUGGGACUUUAUUGGAACCCCCACCCCACCUCCAAGUUCCUGCUUAUUUGUGACUGGAAUUGAGUAUCAAAUAUGUUUCCAUGAAGAUUUAGUAUGCUCGUGGUGCCUAAACAAUUUGUUUUAGGUGAUUAUGAAUAUUGAUUUAUGGUAUGCACAUCUUGAGACUACUUGCCAGUUUGCUGCCUGUGCUAUCUCCUUUAUGCAGUUAUUACAGUUUUCAGCUUAUAGGUUUUCCUCUCGUGAUGUUAAACAUAAAUUGUAACUGGUGACAUUGACUUGCAGUGGAGAUUGAGACCCUCGUGGAAGACAAAAUUGUGACAACAGAAAGUAUUGUGGGAGGUGAAACUGGUGUUUGUGAAGUCGACACAAGCCAAGAACCAUAUGAAGGUAUGGUAUUUGAAUCGGAAAAUGCUGCCAGAGUUUUCUAUGAUGAAUAUGCUAAACGGGAAGGAUUUCUUACACGUAUUGUAUCAUCCCGUAAGUCUGAGCAUGAUGGAACAAUUAUAUCUCGCCGACUUGCUUGUAAUAAAGAAGGGUUUAAUCUCAGCAGCCAAAAGACAGGGCAAGUUAAAAUUAGAAAAAGAGAAAGCAAACGGGAGGGUUUUAUGGCAAUGAUAUUGGUGAAGAGAGAAAAGCUAGGGAAAUGGGUGGUGACAGUUUAUGAGGGAGCAUAAUCAUCCACUAGUAAUAUCAUCAAAAAAAGGCCGACCAACAACAGAUGAAAAGGAUGAGAGAAUUCGAGAGCUAUCCUCCCAGUUGCAUCAUAGGAACCGACAGUUAGCAGCAUGCCGAGAACAGCUGCAAAUUAACAUUUAUGAUUUGCAUUGAGGAACACACUAUGUGCAUGUUAAGAACACUCGAAGGUGUUGUUCAAAACAUUAGAGAAGUUGAAUCUGAAACCAGAAGCUGCUCCUAGGUUAGUCAUAAGACCUGGCAUUACGUUGUAAAUCUUGUACAAAUUUCAACUCUUGUUAGUAGGUGAAAUUUCAUCAAAAUUCCUUCCAGCUGUAUAAUUCUGUUGCAAAUUGUUUCGAGGCCUUGUAAUCAACCGCUUGACCUAAUCUCAGUUUUGUAAGUAAACUAAUUAUAUUUCAUGUAUAAUAUUCGGCUGCGUUGAUCAA